GGAGGGUGCAAGCGUUGUUCGGAAUUAUUGGGCGUAAAGAGCGUGUAGGCGGUCCGGUAAGUCAGAUGUGAAAGCCCUGGGCUCAACCCAGGAAGUGCAUUUGAAACUACCAGACUUGAGUACGGGAGAGGAGGGGGGAAUUCCCGGUGUAGAGGUGAAAUUCGUAGAUAUCGGGAGGAAUACCAGUGGCGAAGGCGCCCCUCUGGACCGAUACUGACGCUGAGACGCGAAAGCGUGGGGAGCAAACAGGAUUAGAUACCCUGGUAGUCCACGCCGUAAACGAUGAGCACUAGGUGUAGCGGGUAUUGACCCCCCUGCUGUGCCCGCAGCUAACGCAUUAAGUGCUCCGCCUGGGGACUACGGUCGCAAGCUA
rnacentral:rRNA from 1 species